rnacentral:piRNA from 1 species
UGGCAACCUCAACACAGAGGGGAGAACU